AACGUAGGUGGCAAGCGUUAUCCGGAAUUACUGGGCGUAAAGGGUGCGUAGGCGGGUCUUUAAGUCAGGGGUGAAAUCCUGGAGCUCAACUCCAGAACUGCCUUUGAUACUGAGGAUCUUGAGUUCGGGAGAGGUGAGUGGAACUGCGAGUGUAGAGGUGAAAUUCGUAGAUAUUCGCAAGAACACCAGUGGCGAAGGCGGCUCACUGGCCCGAUACUGACGCUGAGGCACGAAAGCGUGGGGAGCAAACAGG
rnacentral:rRNA from 1 species